rnacentral:misc_RNA from 1 species
AUUUAUAAGUUUUGGAUAUUGAUGCAAAUUUAAUAUCUAACAGAGUUGAAUGACAAAAAAAUGUCGAUACAAUACGACACCAAUUAAUUCAGAAUUAAGAUUUAGUUAUUAUUUAUUUGUGUUUAUAGUUUUGAGGUUGUUCUUGAAUUUGUCACACAUUAUUAGACUCCAACUCAUUUUCUUUGUCAUUAACUCUUCAUAAUCUCUUAAGUCUUUGUACUCUUAUAGGGCUUGCAUUUCUAACACUGAUAAAAGUUAUCUGAGCUCUUUCAAUGGACUAGGUCCAACCUAUGAAAAAUAAGGGUUGCCAUUAGAAAUUGCCUUGAAAAUCUGGGAAUUAGGGCUAGAGUUAUAGCCUUACCAAAUCCUUGUGUGGCUUUGGCUUAUAACAGAUGGGCUUAUUAAAAAAUAUUGGAAAAAUUCUUAUUUAAUUUUUCCAUUUUAACAAAUCUUACUAUUUAGUUUUUAAAAAAAUAUAUAUUAGUUUAUUGUUAUAUUUUUGUUUCGUCUAUUAUUUAGUCCUUUUUUCCAAUUUAAAUCAAGUUUUUUGUCCGUCAAUGUAUUUAAAAGAAAGAAAUUACUAUUAUGAGAAUUAAAUAGUUCAAAAACUUAUAAAAUAGAGUGACUAUAUAGUUGUAUUUUCAAAAUUACAAGGACUGAAUAAAAUUUAAACUAAUACCUGAAAUGACCAGAGGGACCAAAAAGUAAACAAAACAAAAAUAUAGAGCCUAAUCCUAAAGACUAUUGUAUAAAAUCUUUUUGGUAGAAGGAAGCUAAUUGAAAAUCCUAUUGUCUAUGUGCAAUGUGGCUUCUUUUAAUAAUAUAUUGGUUUAACUUUGCUUUGAACCUUAAACUCUUAACUUUUUGCCAUCAUUGAUUCAAUAAUAAGACCAGAUUUAAAAACUGUAUUUUAAAUUAAAAAUGUUUUUGUGGGUAGUGGGUUAUGUGAUGUGGGAUUGUCAAACUUAUAGAUCUUAUUUUAUGCACCCUAAUCAAGAUUAUUAUUUGAUUAAUUAAUUUUUAUAUUUAGAAAAUAUUUGGACGUUAAAAUUCAAAUUCUUUUAGCUUAAAAAAUUAUAUGAAAUGGGCGUAAAGAAUCAAGUAUGAUGCUUUUUUGUAUUGGAAAUAGACAAAGGGGUGGGUUUAAACCUUUUGUUGUUCUGUUGCUCUCCAUCAUAAAAUUUCUAGAAAUAACUCCUAACAAAUUAUUUACACCUUUGAACUACUCUUAGAUUUUAAAAUUAAAAAGUGAAUUAUCACUCCAUAUGAUUUUCUUCCAUUCUUACCCAUGUGAGAUGGUCGGAGCUUUAUUUAGUUUGUAGAAUUAAAUAACAUGGAAAUUAAAUAUUCUAUAGAUUAGCUAUUAGUCACUAAAUUUGUAAUUCAGAAGAAUAUAUAUCCCAUCCAAUAAAAAUGUUUUUUUGUUUUUUUUAACAGCAGAAAGAUAAUAAUUAUUGCAUAUUAAAAGUUUUGAUAAAAAUAUUAAAAACAAUGAAAUAACUAUUUCUUGAUAUUAUUUCCAUCUUUUAAUAUGCUAUUUCACAAACCAAACAGAGCAGAGUAAAAUAACUUAUCUACAUAUCCCACUAAUGAUCAGGCCUUGUAUAGUAAUAUUAGUGUUGUUAGCUGUUUUAGUAGCUGUCAAUUAUUUUACCAGUUGUUAGUUAUUAGAUAUUAGUGAUUUAAAGCAAAAGUAUUCAAUUAAAAUGACUGUUGAAUUAGUUAGUAAAUGUAAAAAUAAUGAUAUAAUCUCAUUGACUUUAGUCAAAUCACUCACUCAACCUCUAAAAUCUAGGAAGAGUAAUUUUUCAUGAAUCACCCCCUUAACCUCUAAGAACUAGUAUAAACACUAUGCCACUGAACAAUAUAUAUAUAUAAGAGAAGAGUUAAAAUACUAAAUACCACCUUAAAAGUUACUGCCAAUCAGGACUUUAAUGUAACCAAACUACAUAGAGCAUGAAAGAGGCUGCAAAUUAGGGGUCCGUAGUUUUCGAUUCUAAUUAAAUUGAACUGAAUUAAUUCGAAUUUUGUCUAUUUUUUCAUUAUUGAUUUUGAUUUUGUUCAUUUUUUUAAGAAGUUUCAAUUAAUCGAUUUGGUUUAAUUUAUUUGAUCAAAAGAUCCAACUAACUAAACCAACUAAAAUUUAAAACCCAUAAGGGAGCUUAAGCCUAAGUGUUAACCCAUAUAUAGUUCCAUGUUUGCCCAACCUCAAUAGGCCUUGCCAUGGUGUUAAGUCUCCAUCUUCAGUUGAAUCAGUUGUUCUACUCUAUAGACUUCUAUUUGCCUCCCUCACCCACCCUCGUCCUUCGCUCUUAACUCUUUGUCUACAUCCAGUUGCCUCAUUCCGUCCUUGUCAGCUGUCUUACCGCUUCCCUCACACUCACUCUAUCUGUCUCAUCCUUGUCCCUCACUGUCUCUAUCUGUCUCGUCAACACUUGGCCUCCUUCACCCACGCUCUCUAUUUGUCUCACCCUUGUUUGCUUGCUCUAUCUCAACCCUGCCCCUUGGUCUUUGUCUCGUCAACGUCGUCUAGUCUCCCUCCCUCUCUUGACGAUUCCUUUGUCAUUUGGUCUGAGUUUCAAUGGAUUGUGAUUAUUGGGUUUUGUUCAACUAUUGACACUAAACAACAACGUUUUGUGAUUUUUGGCUCGAUUAAAAAAAUGAUGAAUUCAACCGAAUUGAACCAAUUGGAUUCAGUUUGAUUCAAUUCUACUAUUGACUUUCAUUUCAUAAGAUUUUGAUACAGAUCAAUUAGGUUUGGUUUGGAACCGAACAUAUCGAUUGUACACCCCUAUUUGCAAUUAUUUUGAUUGUCUUCAUCUUAUAGUAUCAACAAUAAAACCGAUGACGAAUUGAAAUCCCUUGUAUAAAACCAAGUACCAAGAACUUGAUGUACUUGAUAUUCAUUUACAAAAAUGGGGGGAUUGAGUACUUGAAGAUCUUGCCUAAGUUUGUGAGUGCAUGAUUGUACUUGAUACUGAACAUGAAACUUAUGAUUAAGGCAUCAGGACACUCACAUUUUAAGAUUAUCAUGAAGCAAU